AACAGGUCAAACAGGAACUUUAAUUGUGAACAUUGCAGAAAAAACACUCAUCAGAAGAUGACCCUCAGAAAUAGGACAAUUAAUAAAUAAAAAGGACAGAGGCAGAUUAAGGAGAUGCAUGAAAUGAGGAAUAUUUCAAAGAUUGCCUGAGCAUAACCACUGCUACUGGAUAAACAUAUGGCAAUAUAAAAGAGCAGGGUCAAUGGAGGUAUCAUACAGUAUAGGCCAUGAGAGACCCUGAAGAAGAAAGUAUGGAAGAGAAACAAAAAUAAAACCAUUUUGACAUUUAUUGAAAUAUAGGAUCAAAGCCUUACAUGUAAAAUUUGGGCAUGUAAUGACUUUUCUCUUCCUCUAAGACUUAUAACAGUGAUGAUUUGAUUUAAUAUCUUUAUCCGGAUUUGUCGAAAAGAUUUGGACAUAGUGCAUCAAUUAUUUUAAAGUUUUGAUACAACGAAUUCAUUCAUUGUACUUGUAACUGAGUUUUCUGGUGCGACACUGUUUUAUCUGCUUCAAAACUAAGUUUGUGAUUUCCAAACCAGAUUAAUGAGAUACAUGUAAUAUCUUUUAACAUCGGUGACUAUUAAAUCCAUUCUUUUA